rnacentral:tRNA from 1 species
UUCCUAGUGGUCCAGUGGUUAGGACUCUGCCCUUUCACUGCUGAGGACAUGGGUUCAAGCCCUGGUUGGGGAA